CUCAGAAUCUCUCCUUCAUCUAGGCUCACAUAAAAUUAAGCCUCUAUUUGAAAUGAAGGCUUGCUAAAAACCAGUGGUCUCCCUGAUAAUUAGCAAUACAGACUUAACAAUGGUUUAGAAUUUGGAAUUAUGCUUUUUAAAGGAAGGUGGGAGAAACAUGAGACUAAAGUGUCCAUACUCUGACCCAAGGCUCUACUGUAGGCCUAUAAGCCAAGAAGAUCAAAAGCAGAAAAAGUGCUUAUUGUGAGGAAGAGCUGAUUUUCAUCAACUCAAAAUCUGCCUGUCUGAAGCUUCCACCCAAUGUUCCUGAUUCUGCAGAACAAGUCUAAUCCCUCUUUCCUAUGAUGGCCACUUCAGAGAUCUCAAGAGGUUCACUUCCUUCCAACUUGUCUCUGGAGGUAAUAUCACUUCGAACCUACUAUGUGGCACUGAUUCUCAGCAGGUAAAUCCUUUCUUUCUCAUAAUGAGGAACAAUUUAAGAGAAAUUAAGUCCCCCAUUAGGAAACUCGGGGGAUUUCCAAUUUAGAAAAAGUAUAUCCUUUGAAAGAUUGGCUUCACUUUGUCCUUCUAUAGCAAGAA